UGCAAGUCGAGCGGAUGAGAAGAGCUUGCUCUUCGAUUCAGCGGCGGACGGGUGAGUAAUACCUAGGAAUCUGCCUGGUAGUGGGGGACAACGUUUCGAAAGGAACGCUAAUACCGCAUACGUCCUGCGGGAGAAAGCAGGGGACCUUCGGGCCUUGCGCUAUCAGAUGAGCCUAGGUCGGAUUAGCUAGUUGGUGAGGUAAUGGCUCACCAAGGCUACGAUCCGUAACUGGUCUGAGAGGAUGAUCAGUCACACUGGAACUGAGACACGGUCCAGACUCCUACGGGAGGCAGCAGUGGGGAAUAUUGGACAAUGGGCGAAAGCCUGAUCCAGCCAUGCCGCGUGUGUGAAGAAGGUCUUCGGAUUGUAAAGCACUUUAAGUUGGGAGGAAGGGCAGUAAGCGAAUGCCUUGCUGUUUUGACGUUACCGACAGAAUAAGCACCGGCUAACUCUGUGCCAGCAGCCGCGGUAAUACAGAGGGUGCAAGCGUUAAUCGGAAUUACUGGGCGUAAAGCGCGCGUAGGUGGUUCGUUAAGUUGGAUGUGAAAUCCCCGGGCUCAGCCUGGGAACUGCAUCCAAAACUGGCGAGCUAGAGUAGGGCAGAGGGUGGUGGAAUUUCCUGUGUAGCGGUGAAAUGCGUAGAUAUAGGAAGGAACACCAGUGGCGAANGCGANNNNNUGGGCUCAUACUGACACUGANGUGCGAAAGCGUNNNNAGCAAACAGGAUUAGAUACCCUGGUAGUCCACGCCGUAAACGAUGUCAACUAGCCGUUGGAAUCCUUGAGAUUUUAGUGGCGCANCUAACGCAUUAAGUUGACCGNCUGGGGAGUACNNCNGCANGGNUAAAACUCNNUGAANNGANGGGGCCCGCACNAGCGGUGGAGCAUGUNGUUUNNUUCGAANCAAC
rnacentral:rRNA from 1 species